CGUCUCACCAACGGAGCUACGCAUGCGUCAUGAAGAUGUCAGCAUGACACACUGCCCUGAGCAGAGGGCGGGAGAAGCUGUCACCUACUGCGGGGAGUGAGAUCAUGUACUGGGUUCUGAGUAUUAAAAGGACUACUUCGGACAACGCACCACCACUUGACUCAUCUAUGAAGGAUCGCAUCCCAUUAACCCAGUGAGGUCCAAGUAUUGUGCAUUAGGGGCUGGAUGGAGUGCUGUGGAGCUGCCCCUAUCU